AGGACGAACGCUGGCGGCGUGCUUAACACAUGCAAGUCAAGGGGGCCCGCAAGGGCAACCGGCGAACGGGUGCGUAACACGUGAGCAAUCUGCCUAGAUGUGGGGGAUAGCCGGCCCAACGGCCGGGUAAUACCGCAUACGCUCUCCUGGCGGCAUCACCGGGUGAGGAAACUUUCGAGGCAUCUAGAGGAGCUCGCGGCCUAUCAGCUUGUUGGCGAGGUAUGGCUCACCAAGGCUAUGACGGGUAGCUGGUCUGAGAGGAUGGCCAGCCACAGUUGGGACUGAGAUACCGGCCAGACUCCGUACGGGAGCAGCGAGGUGGGAAUGUGCGACAAGUGGACCGAAAGGCUAGACGCGACGGCGACGGCCGGCGGUGGGGAAAA
rnacentral:rRNA from 1 species